UGCUUGGAGAGAAGUUGUUAGACUCCAUCAGAAGCUUUUCAGGUCACAAAGCUGCAAAGAAAACAGAGGAGACCUUUACUUGCAGGAUGAAGGAGGGAUGAGAUGGCUGAAGUGGAAGCAGAGUCAGAUUAUUCUGGUACUGCGUGGGCCAAAUAUGCACUUCAUGCAGGUAAAAGAAUCACUUGAGACUACUUCAGACUAUAUUUUGAUAGUCCCAGGGAGAGGCUUUGUUAUUGAACCUUA